GUAGCGCUAUUUGAGGGGAUUAUUGAUGGGGUGAGUAGGUUGAUGCCCCCAUCCAGAGUGAGAACAUUCAUUUGGUUUCUGCAAAGACACUAACUAAGACCACAAUAUUUGAGGCUCACUCUACAUAUGAACCAUUAUUAGCCCUAUUCCAGCACCUACAACAACUGCUUCCCUAGUACCACCUGUUCUCUGUUGGUUUUCCACUGCUAUAAUCACUAUUUCACAGGCUUACCUAAAGGGCAUAGUGCAGUGAUACACCAAAAUUAUUCCUUCCUUAAGCAUUAUAAGUAG
rnacentral:lncRNA from 1 species